GCACAACUCCUUCUCCUUCUCCUUCUCCUUCUCUUCUGCAGACUCCUUUCCCUGCACAUCUCCUUCUUCGCACGACCAUCUGCUUUCCAGCAGCUGCUCAGAGCUUCUCUUCAAAUCAUAUACCAACAACACGCUGGAUGUAUUUCACCACCCUUUGUGAGGUUAACCUUGGGGGAUCGGUUCAGUCGUGGCGUCCCUCAGUUCUGUGGGCUGCUUAGUGUAUAAAUUACAUUAUUUUAGUGGUUUUAUGUCUUCUUUGAGCCUCUGGUGACAGAGAUUGAUCAUGAUGUCACUCCGGGUGGCAAUUAUGUUUCUAAGCUCCUCUAUGACAGCAACUAUUAUGGUGUCAUGCUAAGGAUUUAUUCAGGAUGUCUUAGAUAUAUCCCAUGAUAUAUAGUCUGGGAAUCGGCUGGUUUUCUACCUCUCAUGGUCUCCUCACUGCUGAAGGGUUCUUAUGUCCAAGGUGUGCAGAGCUGAAGUAUUCAAUUGACGAACCAUUGAGAUUGAGGUGUGGAUAAAUAAUGCGGGAAAGUGCUGUAAUGUUUCUCUAGAAAUCCCAAAAUUGGGUUUAAGUGAUUGAAGACUGUUAAUGUGUCGGAGGCAUCUUCUUCGGUGAUUGAAGUGAUUUCACCAAUGCCCCUACUGCUUUCUCGUGCUUUCCAGCUGCUUCCAAAAGAGAUCUCACCAUCAUAAGUUCCCGUGGUGAUGAUGGUGCAAUUUGCUUCCUCUUUCAUGAUUUCUUGAGUUGAAAGGCUUGUUAUAGCUGGAUUAGGAGUUUGGCCGUGCUGCACUUCCUCUUCUGUGUUUCCAGGGGAAUAGGAAGAAGGGCUAAUUACUGCUAAUGGAGGAAGGUCGUUGUGUUCUGGGCGAUGUUUGCUUUGUGUGUUUGAUAUUGAAGUCUCAGUAGCGUUAAACUGUGAGGAAUUUGAUGAGUGUCGACUUGAAUUGGAUCUAUUUGUGGAAAGCCUGUGUCUAGCAUUUUUUUGCCAAUUUUCCAGGCCUCUAACCACACACUCGACAACCUUGUUGUAUGUUGGAAAUGAUAUAUACCUGAUUCCAACAACCUGCUCAAAAUCAUCAUCGAAUGUCCUAGAAAGAAAUUUCUUGAAGUUGAAAUUGCUGCCUUCAGCCACAUUCGCCUGCAGAAGCAACCGAAAGGAAAUUUAGCUAUAAGCUGUCACAGAAGCAUAACACGUUACAGGGGUUUUUGGAUUCGUGAGGCUUGCUCCAUCCUGGCCUCCAAUUGUUAUGUGAGGCUCAUCAUAUUAAACUCACGUACUGGCCAAAGUAGGAGAGGGUGAUCACUCCAAAGCUUUAGAUGACGUCUCCCAAAAGAUGUUUGACGGGAAAGCUGGAACCUCUUUGGAUCUGUACAGAUGACACUAUUAUAAAUUAAUUAUCCUCGGUCCUCACCUUUGCUUGACAGUAAUUAUCAUCCGUGAUUUGAUUCGAAAGUGUUUCGCUGGAAUUUGAUCCUGGAACUUGUUUGGCUGAGGAGAAAGUUGGGUGUACCGAGUCUACAGCAUCUUUGCAUGGAAGAAAAGAAUUGGCCGCGGCUUCAGUGACGCAGAUUUUUGAGAUGGGUACUUCCAAUAUUGCAAGAAGCAGCGAUAUGAAACCGAAAUUCAUCAUUUCUGUAUUCGGUUCAAACAAGUAAUUAAUCAAACUUGUUUACGUAAUUUGAUUGGAGAGAAUAUAUAGAAAACUCUCGCCAAGAUAGUGGAAGUCUAAUGAAAAAGUCUUUUUACCAUUAAAAAAGACGGGAGGAGGAGGCCAGCUAGGCAUGUACUAACCUGUUUUGAUCUUCACCAAAGCCUUAUCGAGGGAUUUUCUUUUC